rnacentral:rRNA from 1 species
GUGCCAGCCGCCGCGGUAAUACCGGCAGCCCGAGUGAUGGCCGAUCUUAUUGGGCCUAAAGCGUCCGUAGCUGGCUGCGCAAGUCCGUCGGGAAAUCCACUCGCCCAACGAGUGGGCGUCCGACGGAAACUGCACAGCUUGGGACCGGAAGGCUCGAAGGGUACGUUCGGGGUAGGAGUGAAAUCCUGUAAUCCCGCUCGGACCGCCGAUGGGGAAACCACCUCAGGAGAACGGAUCCGACAGUGAGGGACGAAAGCCAGGGUCUCGAACCGGAUUAGAAACCCGUGUAGUCC